UACGUAGGGUGCAAGCGUUGUCCGGAAUUAUUGGGCGUAAAGAGCUCGUAGGCGGUCUGUCGCGUCGGCUGUGAAAACUCGGGGCUCAACCCCGAGCCUGCAGUCGAUACGGGCAGACUAGAGUGCUGUAGGGGAGACUGGAAUUCCUGGUGUAGCGGUGAAAUGCGUAGAUAUCGGGAGGAACACCAGUGGCGAAGGCGAUCACCUGGGGAUGUUCUGACGCUGAGGAGCGAAAGCUAGGGGAGCAAACGGG
rnacentral:rRNA from 1 species